AUUGAACGCUGGCGGCAUGCUUUACACAUGCAAGUCGAACGGUAACAGGCCGCCAGAUGCUGACGAGUGGCGAACGGGUGAGUAAUGCAUCGGAACGUGCCCAGUCGUGGGGGAUAACGCAGCGAAAGCUGCGCUAAUACCGCAUACGAUCUAUGGAUGAAAGGGGGGGACCGUAAGGCCUCGCGCGAUUGGAGCGGCCUAUGUCAGAUUAGGUAGUGGGUGGGGUAAAGGCUCACCAAGCCAACGAUAUGUAGCUGGUCUGAGAGGACGACCAGCCACACUGGGACUGAGACACGGCCCAGACUCCUACGGGAGGCAGCAGUGGGGAAUUUUGGACAAUGGGCGCAAGCCCGAUCCAGCAAUGCCGCGUGCAGGAAGAAGGCCUUCGGGUUGUAAACUGCUUUUGUACGGAACGAAACGGUCCUGGUUAAUACCUGGGGCUAAUGACGGUACCGUAAGAAUAAGCACCGGCUAACUACGUGCCAGCCGCCGCUGUAACAC
rnacentral:rRNA from 1 species